GAGGAGGAGGAGGAGGAGGAGGACAGCUGAUCUCCACCUUGCAGGGAGGAAAGCAGGUGGUUCAGACGGUGCAGAUGUUGGUGAACUGCAGACCAUCGCGGUUCUUCCUGCAGCCUCUGAGUUGGAGGAUCUCAUCAGUGUCCGUCUUCCUGACCGCCGGUCGGUUUUUACCUCCAGGAUGUCCAGAGACCUUCAGCUUCUGGAGCAGGAACCACAUGAGCUCCAUGUGCUGAUGAAACAUUUCUAAUUUAAAAUGUGUCUGAUGUUCUUAGAGUUGAAGUGCAUUAACAAUCUGUUGUUUUUCACUUCAAUAUGUUUAAUUAUGAUUCAUCUGAUGUCCAAGUUACACUGAGAACAAAUAAAACUGUAUUCCUUCUAAUCUGACUGGUUCUAGUUUUAAUCAAACCUUCAUGUUUCCACUUUUUAGUCUCUAAGAAUUAAAAGUUUAAACUCUUAGUCUUAUUUAUCACUAAUUAAGGUUCCAGGAUUGUAUUAGGACCUUGAUGCCAAACAAACUACAGUUUGUACAAUAAUGUGAGGAGAGAUUAUAAAAAAGAGACUUUGUUCACUGAGAGAAAACAGCAUUUAUUUUCUUCUUUUAUUUGCCUCGGCUCUUCAUGGAGCUCUGCCAUCAGCUGGUAGCUGCUUCCUCCUGAAGGAAAUCCAGUUGUUGUUCUGACGGUUCUCCUCAUCGUUCUCCAUCAUGUCCACCAUGUUCCUCCUCUUCUGUUCUCUGGGAAAAGAAAUCAGAUGUUAGAGCUUGCAGCACAUAAAUGUAGAUAAAUAACAGAGUUACUAAUGUGGGAGUUACAAACACAGAAGGAAUUAUUUAAAACG